GAUGAACGCUGGCGGCGUGCCUAAUACAUGCAAGUCGAGCGAACAGACGAGGAGCUUGCUCCUCUGACGUUAGCGACGGACGGGUGAGUAACACGUGGAUAACCUACCUAUAAGACUGGGAUAACUUCGGGAAACCGGAGCUAAUACCGGAUAAUAUAUUGAACCGCAUGGUUCAAUAGUGAAAGACGGUUUUGCUGUCACUUAUAGAUGGAUCCGCGCCGCAUUAGCUAGUUGGUAAGGUAACGGCUUACCAAGGCAACGAUGCGUAGCCGACCUGAGAGGGUGAUCGGCCACACUGGAACUGAGACACGGUCCAGACUCCUACGGGAGGCAGCAGUAGGGAAUAUUCGGCAAUGGGCGAAAGCUUGACGGAGCAACGCCGCGUGAGUGAUGAAGGUCUUCGGAUCGUAAAACUCUGUUAUUAGGGAAGAACAAAUGUGUAAGUAACUAUGCCCGUCUUGACGGUACCUAAUCAGAAAGCAACGGCUAACUACGUG
rnacentral:rRNA from 1 species